AGCAUAUCAAUAAGCGGAGGAAAAGAAACCAACAGGGAUUGCCUCAGUAACGGCGAGUGAAGCGGCAACAGCUCAAAUUUGAAAUCUGGUUCCUCUGGAGCCCGAGUUGUAAUUUGUAGAGGAUGUCUUCGGGUUUGGCCCCGGCCUAAGUUCCUUGGAACAGGACGUCACAGAGGGUGAGAAUCCCGUAUGUGGCUGGAGGUCUAUGCCCAUGUGAAGCUCCUUCGACGAGUCGAGUUGUUUGGGAAUGCAGCUCAAAAUGGGUGGUAAGUUUCAUCUAAAGCUAAAUACUGGCGGGAGACCGAUAGCGCACAAGUAGAGUGAUCGAAAGAUGAAAAGCACUUUGGAAAGAGAGUUAAAAAGUACGUGAAAUUGUUGAAAGGGAAGCGCUUGCGACCAGACUUGCCCUCAGUUGAUCAACCGGUGUUCUUCACCGGUGCACUCGGCUGAGGUCAGGCCAGCAUCGGUUUAGACGGUUGGAGAAAGACCAUAGGAAUGUGGCUCCCUUCGGGGAGUGUUAUAGCCUGUGGUGCCAUGCAGCCAGUUUAGACCGAGGACCGCGCCUUGUGCUAGGAUGCUGGCGUAAUGGUCGUAAGCGACCCGUCUUGAAACACGGACCAAGGAGUCUAACAUCUAUGCGAGUGUUUGGGUGUGAAACCCAUGCGCGUAAUGAAAGUGAACGGAGGUGGGAACCCUUAAGGGUGCACCAUCGACCGAUCCUGAUGUCUUCGGAUGGAUUUGAGUAAGAGCAUAGCUGUUGGGACCCGAAAGAUGGUGAACUAUGCCUGAAUAGGGUGAAGCCAGAGGAAACUCUGGUGGAGGCUCGCAGCGGUUCUGACGUGCAAAUCGAUCGUCAAAUUUGGGUAUAGGGGCGAAAGACUAAUCGA
rnacentral:rRNA from 1 species